rnacentral:rRNA from 1 species
GACUCCUACGGGGCGCAGCAGUGGGGAAUAUUGGACAAUGGGGGGAACCCUGAUCCAGCGACGCCGCGUGAGUGAAGAAGUAUUUCGGUAUGUAAAGCUCUCUCAGCAGGGAAGAAAGAAAUGACGGUACCUGACUAAGAAGCCCCGGCUAACUACGUGCCAGCAGCCGCGGUAAUACGUAGGGGGCAAGCGUUAUCCGGAUUUACUGGGAGUCAAGGGAGCGUAGACGGCGAUGCACGUCUGAAGUGAAAGGCGGGGGCCCAACCCCCGGACUGCUUUGGACACUCUAUAGAUGGAGAGCAGGG